rnacentral:rRNA from 1 species
UACGUAGGUGACAAGCGUUUGUCCGGAUUUACUGGGCGUAAAGAGCGCGCAGGCGGUCGUUCAAGUCGAGUGUGAAAGCCCCCGGCUCAACUGGGGAGGGUCACUCGAUACUGAUCGACUCGAAGGCAGGAGAGGGUAGUGGAAUUCCCGGUGUAGUGGUGAAAUGCGUAGAUAUCGGGAGGAACACCAGUGGCGAAGGCGACUACCUGGCCUGUUCUUGACGCUGAGGCGCGAAAGCUAGGGGAGCAAACGGG